rnacentral:rRNA from 1 species
AGUGAACGCUGGCGGUAGGCCUAACACAUGCAAGUCGAACGGCAGCACAGUAAGCGCUUGCUCUUACGGGUGGCGAGUGGCGGACGGGUGAGGAAUACAUAGGAAUCUACUUUUUCGUGGGGGAUAACGUAGGGAAACUUACGCUAAUACCGCAUACGACCUACGGGUGAAAGCAGGAGAUCUUCGGACCUUGCGCGACUGAAUGAGCCGAUGUCGGAUUAGCUAGUUGGCGGGGUAAAGGCCCACCAAGGCGACGCUCCGUAGCUGGUCUGAGAGGAUGAUCAGCCACACUGGAACUGAGACACGGUCCAGACUCCUACGGGAGGCAGCAGUGGGGAAUAUUGGACAAUGGGCGCAAGCCUGAUCCAGCCAUGCCGCGUGGGUGAAGAAGGCCUUCGGGUUGUAAAGCCCUUUUGUUGGGAAAGAAAAGCAGCAGGUUAAUACCCCGCUGUUCUGACGGUACCCAAAGAAUAAGCACCGGCUAACUUCGUG